CAUCUCUCUCUCUCUCUCAACCGCAAGAGCAAGAGAACAGAACAACUCAGAAGCAGAGCCCAAACGCAAAGUCUGUUAGCAAGCAAUUCAUGUGGGGCGAUCUCUACCUCUAAUCAGUUAUCACAUAAUUGAGCCCCAAAUUUGUAGACACCCCACGCUGCAUCAAUCACUGACUGUAGUUAUAUUUCGUCCUCAGGAGGCAGUUAAAUGAUUUGAGUUGUGGCUUGGGCCCAGUUCUGCGAAUUUGACGAGCUAAGAUUAUAGAAUUUAGACUUCAAAUAACUGAGAGUCACGGGAACAAGUUUUGUUAGAGGCUCCUUCAGGACAGUGGAUAAUUAUAAGUCCCAUUCUCCCAGUGUCAGAAAGAAUCUUGAACUGAAGGUGAUGGGAUAACAUGGUAAUCAACCUUGUUACGUAGUACAUAAUAAGCCCCACUUUCUUAUACUCA